rnacentral:rRNA from 1 species
GCGAACGCUGGCGGCGUGCUUAACACAUGCAAGUCGAACGCUGAAGCUUGGUGCUUGCACUGGGUGGAUGAGUGGCGAACGGGUGAGUAAUACGUGAGUAACCUGCCCUUGACUCUGGGAUAAGCCUGGGAAACUGGGUCUAAUACUGGAUAUGACAUGCCACUGCAUGGUGGUGUGUGGAAAGGGUUUUACUGGUUUUGGAUGGGCUCACGGCCUAUCAGCUUGUUGGUGGGGUAAUGGCCUACCAAGGCGACGACGGGUAGCCGGCCUGAGAGGGUGACCGGCCACACUGGGACUGAGACACGGCCCAGACUCCUACGGGAGGCAGCAGUGGGGAAUAUUGCACAAUGGGCGGAAGCCUGAUGCAGCGACGCCGCGUGAGGGAUGACGGCCUUCGGGUUGUUAACCUCUUUCAGCACGGAAGAAGCGAGAGUGACGGUACGUGCAGAAGAAGCGCCGGCUAACUACGUGCCAGCAGCCGCGGUAAUACGUAGGGCGCAAGCGUUGUCCGGAAUUUUUGGGCGUAAAGAGCUCGUAGGCGGUUUGUCGCGUCUGCUGUGAAAGCCCGGGGCUUAACCCCGGGUGUGCAGUGGGUACGGGCAGACUUGAGUGCAGUAGGGGAGACUGGAAUUCCUGGUGUAGCGGUGAAAUGCGCAGAUAUCAGGAGGAACACCNAUGGCGAAGGCAGGUCUCUGGGCUUUUACUG